UUGUCUUUCUCUGUCUGGCUUAUUUCACUUAACAUAAUAUCAGGGCAAAUAUUUUAACCCUUGUUUUACAGAAGGGGAGGCUGAAGCAAGAGAGAAGUGAUGGCCCAACAUCCGCGGACAGUCAGCUCUGGCCAGAGACCAGACCCCAUGCCUUCGGAAUUCCUGUGCAGUCUUUCGGAGACACGGUUCUGAGUCUCAAGGCUUUACUCUUAACGAAGUACGUGUCCAAUUUUAUACUCCGUUGCCAAAACUUUACAUAAAGUUUUAAGGCACAAAAGGCAGGACUUAGGCUGAGUCCUAGCCACUUUGCAUACUCAGAUCAGACCCGGCCCUGUGUCCUGAAUACGUUAUUUUUAAAAAAACAAAUAAAAAACACAAUCUUCCUGUGACAGAGCCAGGCCUGUCACUCUGAGAUAAGAGGGAAAACAGUCUUUGAGACGUAGGGACUCACAGCAGAACAAAGUCUACGAAGCCGGCCUCCGCCUCACGCCAUUUGGCAAAACAGUGCACAUUCACUCAUCUGCCUAUUCAUUCACUCAUUCAACCACCUGUCCGGAGUCUCCUGAACACCUGCCCUGCCAGACAACCAGCCGGGUGCUGGGAAGGCAGCAGGGAGAGCACAAAGGCUCUGGCCUCACGGAGCACACAGCCAGCUAAGCCACGAACCCCCGCUAAACCGAGGAACCCACACUCAGCAUGCUGUGUCUGACACCGCACUAAAACUCAAAAUGACGGAUUUUUCUCCCCUAAGUGAAGAAACAGGAAGCCCUGAGUCUGGUAGAGUUUAGAAAACUGAGAGCGCCUUGGGCCAGCACUUCUCCAACUUGACCAUGCGCCCAGGUCACCUGGGGUCUUGUUCACAUGCAGAUUCUGAUUCAGUAGACCUGGCAGGGCCUGAGACUCUGCAUUUCUAGCAAAUUCUGGGGGCCGCCCAGGACUACACUUUGAUGCCACAGGCCUCUUCAGGAACCCUGGCAGGCUCUCGUCGCCUCUGCCCCACAGCCCGGCAUUCACACACUGCUCUAAGCCCCCAGGACGUCAACUCCCAAGAACUCAGUUCUUAAUCUGUAAGAAUUAAGCAUGUAAAGUGGUACUAGAUGCAGGUUUCUUUCGCUCCACCGCAAGGUCCACGGAUGCUGGGGUAACUGCAGUAGGAAGACCCAGAUUUGUUCUUAUGAUUAUCCCGAAACAGCCAAGGUUUUUGUUUGUUUAUUAUUUUUUAGUAUGGUGCCUAACACAAGAGGUCAGGGCACAGAGGAGGGCAGUGGACUGCCCAGGCGGCCCCAUGCCAGAUGCCGCUGGUCUGUUAAUGUGUCAAUGUACACCUGAGGGGCCCUCCCUAGUCUGCUCGACCUCACCAGGGCUCCCUGUGGGGCUGGGAGGUAACAAUCAAAGAUGCAAUUAUACAAAGGUAUGAACAAGUGACAGUGAAGGCAGGCAAGAGAGAGCCAACGAACAAAACUGCCUCUGUCCCCAGAGGUCUCCAGUAGCACCCACACAGCAGGUGUGACAGCACUACGGAGGCGAACCAAGCAGCAGCUCUUACCCAUGUUGAGCUCAGCCACGCAGCCUUCUGGCCACAACCAAGGCCCCGGGAGCCUUCCCCUAGUUUGGGGUGGGAAAGCUUCUUCUGUGAAGGGCUGGACAGUAAAUAUUUUCAGCUUUGCAGGUCAUGCCAUCUCCCUGACAACUAUUCAACUCUCCUAUUGUAUCACGAAAGCAGCCAGAGACAAUGUGCAAACACCGACAGACACACCUAUGUUCCAAAAAACUUAAACAGGUGAUGUCUGGCCCACCCUAGGGAGCGAGAAUGUGCCCUCCGCCCACAUGACAGGUGCAGCCUGGCUGGCUUUCAUCAUUUUCCAUCGACAAUCAUUAAACAGGCUCUCUGGUUUGCACAUCAGUUUCUUCUGAGUCUGGUUCAUGUGCCUUAAUUCUGAAGAGGCUCAUUUCUCUGGAGGCACUGGUGUCUGACUUUUUCCCUUCAUAUUUAGGGGCAAAUAAAUAAAAUACUAGAGUCAAAGGAUUGGCUGGUGAACAAUAGAAUGGACACAACCAGCUUAAAUGCCUAAAUUAGCAAACAAUACAGCAGGUACUAAAAAGAACACAUCACCAGUACAAAAAUCCAAAUCUCUUACAGCAGCACAGGAGGCCCUGUAAGAUGGACCUCUAUUCUCACAGCUGUGAAAUCCACCACCCACGGGAAGCCUCCCGCUCCAACCAGGCUCCAGGACUCCAGGUCCAAACUCGUGGCUCCUUGCAGGCCUUCACCGCGCUGUUUUCCAGGCGAGAUGCUCUUCUCCUCCAUCUCACCAGCUCCUGCCCAUCCCUAAAUGCCAUUCAAGCGUCCCCUCCUCUGCAAAGUUCUACCUCUUCCCAUAAGUCAGGGUCAGAUGCUGCCCCUGUGCAAACCUGUACCCCAGCCCCGUAACACCGGAAUGGUUCCCUACAGCCUGCCCCUCCCCUUACCCGAAAUCACCCGGCUCCAACAGCUUAGUAAGGCUCAGCGAAUGUUUGCUAACGAAUGCAGCCCGACAGUAAAGAAAGAUGCGCGCCUCCGCUCACUACCCACCACAGGGCUAGUCUCAAACCCUGGGCAUUUAUUUUCAUCCAUAAAACGAAGCACGUGACACAAAGUUCCUUCUUCCAGCCCCCAGAUUCUGCAAUUCUCGGCAAAGAAGAACCCCUGUAGGUAUAACCCCAACUCUUAAAAGUUAGGGGCAGGGGACCAAAUCCAGCUAACUUUCACUUCCAUGGUUGAUGCGAAUCAUCCCGUAAUUCCCACCAGCUCCAGCCUCUGAGAACUAGAGCUUCCUUGACUCACUUCUCAAAAAUGUUUUUAUAUGUUUCGGUAUUUUUGUUGUCGUUAACAGCCCGUCUACGGGGAACUGGCUGGAAACGAGUGCGAUCCUCCGCAUUAAAAGCAUCAAGCCUAACCGGUUAACAGACUGAAGAUCGGAACCCGCCCCAGAGCCGGGCUAUGGGACCUUAGCAAACGCCCUCUCCUCUCUGGCCGGUCCCUCUCUCCGCUUGGAGGAGGAGCCUGGGCUUCCGGUCAGAGCAAGCGCCACAAAAGAGAGCCCUCACCCACGCCCACAGGAUGGCCGGCUGAGAGGUGGCAGGCUUUCCCUCGGGAUUCUCUCCUUCGCACGUAUGGAUGAAACCUCUGAAUAUGAUGAAGUACCACUCCCAUGAUUAUGUUAUGUGACACGGCAAAAAGAAGAUUAUCUGGGCAGAUGAGCCUACUCUAACUGCAUGAGCCUUUUAAAAUUAAGCACAAUUUUCUCUGGUUGGUGGUAGAGAGUCAUUGCUGGUUUGAAGAUGGACGGGCCACAGAGAUGCAGGCAGCCGUAAGGAAGUAAGAAAGUUCUCCAGCUGAUAGCCAGCAAGGAAAUGGGGCCCUCAGUCCUACAACCACAAAUAAUGGAAUUCUGCCACCCACCUGAAUGAGCAUAGAAGGAUUCUUCCCAGAGUCCCCAAAUGAGAGCCCGGAUGGGCCACCACCUUGAUUUCAGUCUGUCACACCCUAAGCACAGAACCUAGUUGAGUUCACCAGGAAUUCUCACCAACAGAACGCAUAAUCAAGGCCUGUUUUUUCACGCUGGUGAAUUUCUGGUAAUUUGUUACACAGCAAUAGGAGAUAAAUACACAUUCCUCCUGUGCCCUCAGCAGUGUGCCCACAGGGCUAGAGGGUUCCAAAGAGGCUUACAGUGGAGUUGGAUGAACACAAAGCUGAUGAGAUCUGGCUCCAGGUUGGACCUGCACUUCAUCGUCACUGGGAGAGGAGCCUUCUGGGGACUGCAUUUCCCUGGGUCUCAUAUCCCAUCACAAGCCCCAGCCAGCUCCAUUAGCCUCACUAAGUCCCCUCCUCAGACACUGCCCGCAUUUCCUACCACACUCAGGCAAGUGCCCCAACCAUUCGAAAAGUAAAAUGCAGAAUGGGAUUAAGCAUUGUGCUCUCCUAGGAACAGCCUUGAAGUUCAUACUGAGCCUUUUUAUAUUUGCUCAGUAUCUGCCUUUGGAACAGAUGCUGCCCCCUGCUCACCACAGUCCAUGUUUUCCCCUUCUCCUGGGCACACCUCUAGACUACAUUUCCCAGCCUCCCUUGCAGUCAGCUGUGACCAUGUGACUGAGUUCUAGCCAAUAAAAUGAAAACAUAACCAAGGUGAGGGGAACCACUUUAGGCUCAGCCUGCAAAAACCUCUCACUGUCCCCCUAUGCUCUUUCCCCUAAGAUGGCCCUAGAAGCCAUGUGUUGAAGUUGGCAUAACUUCCUCCAUCUUGAGUCUCUGAAUGAGUAUUUGAAGAACAUGUUCACCCACCCAGGACUGUUACAUGAACAAGAAAUAAACUUCUGUUGUGUUUGAGCCAUUACAUA